CAGGCACCUCUCAAAACCGAGAUGCUGAUCCAAAGAAGCUGCUUCACGCAGGUCUCUCCCAUACAAUCCUAAAGGCUGGAGUACACAGGCACGAUCUCGGCUCACUGCAACCUCCACUUCCCGGGUUCAAGCCAUUCUCCUGCCUCAGCCUCCCCAGUAGCUGAGAUUACAGGGGCGCGUCACCACGCCCGGCUAAUUCUUGUAUUCUUAGUUGAGACGAGGGUUCACCAUGUUGGCCAGGCUGGUCUCGAACUCCUGACUUCAGGUGAUCCGCCCGCCUCGGCCUCCCAAAGUGCUGGGAUUACAGGCGUGAGCCACCGCAUACAGCCUAAGGGCCUGUUUUCUGACUGACAGACACAGACAACCUCACUGAGCACCGGACAACCAAGACAAACACACUAGGGUGCGUUCCAGACCCCAAAAACACACCCCUCUGGGGAGCGCAGCCUCGUUAUUGUUCGUGACCAAUUGGAGUCCCGCAGGCGCCGUUUCCCCGCCCCUUGGUUCUGUCGCGCCACUUCAUUGGCGGCUCAGGCAGCAGUAACGUAUCGCGCUUGCUCAGUAGCCAAUAAGAAGCAUGACGGCACCCUCGGCAACCUGGGACCUCCUAGACCGGCCGACCUAGCUAUGCCCCGCCCGAAGCAGCAUCCUCCUGAUCCUUCGGGUUCUUUCGGAAGCUGCCCUCCAGGGUGAAGUCGCGUUCGCUCUCCCAUCAACACAUUUAUUUUUCUGCCCGACUCUCGCGCGUGCGCACUGACACCCCCAGAACGGCCCUGAAAUGAAAACAUCUUGAGAGAGGGGGAGGGACCCCAAGCCGCUGUAGGCCAGGUCAGUGAGGCUACCCACACAGCCCGAGGUGGCUGCUGCCGGAAGCGGUCUCCAAAACAGGAAUUGUAGGACCAAAAAGUCUCGUGAGGUCCCACCGAGAUUUGAACUCGGAUCGCUGGAUUCAAAGUCCAGAGUGCUAACCAUUACACCAUGGGACCUGCUGGCUUCUUAAGGCGGCCGCGAGUCUCCUCAAGCUAGGAGGGCUCUGGGCGGCCUUUCCAGAGCGGCAGCGGUGUCCGUGUUUGAGGGACUGGGCCCUGGACCGGGGCCCCACGGGCGGCGUGGCGAGGGCUUCUGCGUCCUUCGUGUUCCCGGCGUUUCUGGUCCCGGGGAUAUCAUGUCUUCCUGCGCUCCUCCGGGGGCUGGGAGGUCGGAAAGGCAGCAGGCUGGCGGGGUUGGCGAUGUGGGGCCGGACUGGGUCCAGGGAAAGCCUGCUCCAACCCCAGCUCCAGGGCAGGAGGCGCGGCGCACGGAGCCUGGGUUGUUUAUUUAUUUAUUUACGUGGGGAGUGCCUUAGAAAAGGUAUUUUGGCCAAGCGGGAAGGGAAGCGGACUAGCAUGUGGGGAACAACGGUUCAAACCCCAGGCGCCCCAGGGACGCGCGUAACGGAGACUUUGAAAUUGCGCCCCCAGCCUGACUGCGUCGGUGCGAGUCCUACUGUUUCACGUGGCUGGAGCUCACGAGAAAACCGUUCUAAAGUUUCGCCUCCACAUGCGUGUGUGCCUAAUUAAAAACCACCAGGUGGGACUGCUGAGAUAACACUCAGAUACCCUUCCUUGCUGGGCGAUUAUCCUUAACUUUAGGAUUAAAUCAGAUCAGUGGAAAAGACACUCCCCUCUGGGCUCUCUCCCCCAUUUUAGUGAGCGUGUAUGUAAACGGAAGUUUCUGCAGGUCAAUCUGGCUACAUUAAAUUUUUACACGCCAUUUGACUCAGCAGUUUCAUCUUUGAGACUUUAACCUACGGAAACACCAAGGCAAGUGCCAAGACGUAUGUUCCAGGAUGUUCUCAGCUGUGUGGUUUAUAAUAGUAAAAAACAGAAAAUAAACGUCCAAGUGAAAAUUGGUAAUAACAAUAUCUACACAAUAAAUAUUGUGCAAGAAUUUAGGGAAUAACUUAUUGUAAUAAUAUAAAAAGCCAAAACAAAAAAGCCACUUGCCAAUUAUUAUGUAUGAUAAUAAUAAAAUCGACUUACCAAUUAGUAUGUAUACAUACCAAUUAGUAUGUAUAACAAUAUGAUAAUAGUAGGUAAAAUCUACUUACCAAUUUGUAUGUAUAAUAGUGUUGUACCAAUUAGUGUGUAUAAUAAUAUAUAUUAAUUAUAUAUAACAUUAAUUAUAUAUAAAUAAAAUACAUCAUUUAAUAAUAUAUACUAAUAAUAUCUAAUUCAUAUAUACUAUGUACUAACAAUAUAUAGUAAUAUGUAUAAUACCCCAUGACUUAUAAACAAACAGAAAAGU
rnacentral:tRNA from 10 species